rfam:Agrococcus casei LMG 22410 genome assembly, contig: Scaffold2
GAAACCAGUUCACUUCACACGGAUCGUCUGGCGCGUGCCCGCCAGGAAGGAAACACCAU